CUUGGUUACAACACUUCAUCCUGGUAAUUUCGUUGUUGUUUUUCUUUGCCUGGAUUGUUGUUGAUCUCUCAAGUUUUGUUGUCCUUAUUAGCCUGUUAUGAUCCAUCUUCAUUGGAGCAUUUGGCCAUUUACUAACCAUAGUCCUAAAUUCUUGAUCCACACAAGCUCUUGAACUACCAACAUUAGUUUUCAUCUUGGUCACCAUAGUCCUAAAUUCUUGAUCCACACACCGUCAGUAAAUGGCCAAAUAUUGAUCUACACUUCAGUUAUCAUGUCACUGUCAGUCUUCAUCUUGGUCACCAACUCACCAUAGUAUGCUCUCUUUUCUCUCUUGUUAUUUACCUCUUUGAUUUAGCUAAAGUGUAGCUAUUAACGACCAACAUUAGUUUGCAGUACAGUCUCCAUCCGUAACAGCCAUUGAUCCACACAAGCAUCCAGUUAAAUAGCCGAACUGCAGCUCUAAAUAUUCAAUUUUCUGCUCUGAACAGUAGCUCUAAUUCGAUGCAGCUCGACGGGAGCAAAAUCCGCACCAGCGAGCCAGACGGCCGACGGAGUGGUGCGGGCUGGGUCGGUGGCAGACAUCAUGGAGGCACCGGAGGUCGCAGCCGUGAGGCGGAGCUGCGUUUCCGGCGGCAGCGAGCAUCGGAUCGAGCCGGACGACCGGCGAAGAGGUACAGGCGGGGGUCGGUGGCGGUCUUCAGGGAGUCGCCGGAGGUCGCGGCCAUCUGGGCGAAGGGGGUAUAGCGGAGGAGCUCCUUUCAGAGGGGAUAUCAGCGAGAAGAAAGAGACGAGAGAGGAGGAGGGAGGAAGAAGGAUGGAGGGAAUAAAAAGGAGCAGACAGGGCGGCGGCGGCGGCGACAGCUUGCCGGAGGAGAAGGCAGCGACGCUGAACGGCGAAGACGGACGGCACGUUUGGUGCUCGUGAGUUCCUCCCCUUGAGGCGAGGCGCGCUCGAGCACUGCAGGGGACGGCGUAUCGGUACAGUGCAUCGCUCAGGAGCGAUUUGGAUCGAACGACAACGAGAGCGUGUGGCAGUUUUGCAAAAAACAUUCCGGUUGCCAGAUACACAUAUUUUGGAAAACAAAUGUCAUUCAAUUCCUGCGAUGGGCUCUAAGUUCUUUAAAAAAAAUACAGCUAGAAGUUUGCUUCUUGGUUUUUCUGUUUUCUGCGACUGGCUGAAGGGGACAUAAAGUGGUACUGGAGAUAUUCGCAAAAUAAAAGUAGUACUGGAGAUAUGAUGGUUCUUUUUUCGGAUUUUCACAUGCACCAGCAAUGUAGCGGAGAGACUCAAAAUCUUGCAAGCAGUCCCGGUCUCUGACCGGAGGUUUGGCAGUAUAGAAGCCAUCAUCUCCAUUACUACUUUUAUGUCACCAUGGACUCGAGUAUCGGCGAGUGCAGCACGGGUCUCCCACCGCUACAACUUUAGCUUCUCCUCCUAAUUCUGGACGCACGAAGCGUGCAAGAGCUCUGGAAAGAUGGUGUCCUCGAGGCCGAGCACUUGCCGUCUACCAACUCAGCUGCUCUCGAUCCAACUCAUUCUGCUGGUUUUCUUCAUCGUCCUCCCCGCCGCAGCAGCCUACAACAAUGUAUCUGCGCCUUCGCCUGUGAGAGUAGACUACUUUACCGCGGGAAUACACCUCCCCCCUGCUAAAUCGGGAAACUUAAACCCGUUCAGAGCACCACAACUCGCUAGGCCAGAACCUCAAGCUAAGCGACCGGAGCGGAUUCCUCGGCGCAAAGAGCGCAAACGCAUACACAUCGGAGAGGUGUACGUGCAGCGAGACUACGGGGGAUGAAGAUGAACACAUGUACGUAGUAGCUUUGAUAGGGAAUCAAACAACCUUGCGCGGUUGGGCCGAUGGGCGCGCUACUUGUAUUUGUGAUCUACAUUCAGCUUGUUAAACAAGUUUGUAAGCAACUUGUCAUUUCUGUCUCCAUGUCCUUCCAGGGACUCGCUAAUGUUUACGCACUCGACAA